rnacentral:tRNA from 1 species
AAAUAAGAAGCAAAAAUUGCAUUUAGUUUCGACCUAAAAAUAUAGUCUUAAAAGACUCUUAUUUA